AAAGGUAAGCUACUAAGAGCGAAUGGUGGAUGCCUUGACUGGUAAAGGCGAUGAAGGACGUACUAGACUGCGAUAAGCUACGGGGAGCUGUCAAGAAGCUUUGAUCCGUAGAUUUCCGAAUGGGGCAACCCAAUGUAUAGAGAUAUACAUUACCUAUAUAGGAGCGAACGAGGGGAAUUGAAACAUCUUAGUACCCUCAGGAAAAGAAAUCAAUAGAGAUUGCGUCAGUAGCGGCGAGCGAAAGCGCAAGAGGGCAAACCCAGUGCUUGCACUGGGGGUUGUAGGACUGCAAUGUGCAAGAGGUAAGUUUAGCAGAACAUUCUGGAAAGUAUAACCAUAGAGGGUGAUAGUCCCGUAUGCGAAAAACAAACCUUAGCUAGCAGUAUCCUGAGUAGGGCGGGACACGAGGAAUCCUGUCUGAAUCCGGGUCGACCACGAUCCAACCCUAAAUACUAAUACCAGAUCGAUAGUGCACAAGUACCGUGAGGGAAAGGUGAAAAGAACUGAGGUGAUCAGAGUGAAAUAGAACCUGAAACCAUUUGCUUACAAUCAUUCAGAGCCCUAUGUAGCAAUACAGGGUGAUGGACUGCCUUUUGCAUAAUGAGCCUGCGAGUUGUGGUGUCUGGCAAGGUUAAGCAAACGCGAAGCCGUAGCGAAAGCGAGUCUGAAUAGGGCGCUUAGUCAGAUGCUGCAGACCCGAAACGAAGUGAUCUAUCCAUGAGCAAGUUGAAGCUAGUGUAAGAACUAGUGGAGGACUGAACCCAUAGGCGUUGAAAAGCCCCGGGAUGACUUGUGGAUAGGGGUGAAAGGCCAAUCAAACUUCGUGAUAGCUGGUUC
rnacentral:rRNA from 1 species